ACCUUUUAUCCACUAUCAGUGACCUUUUGUAUUAGGGCUCUUUAAUAUUGAAACCUUGGGAUCGAAACCUCUAAUUGUUUUUUGUUUAAAAAAAGAGCAUUAAGAGGUUUAGGAAGGAUACCUUUUUCAAAUGAGGAUAUAACCAGUUUUUAUGCCCAGGCUAGGCUUGGGUAUAGUUGAGACCAAAAGUUUUUUUUUGGUUAAGUCGAAAAUAAUUUACAAAAAAUUUUAAUUUUAUUUUCAUAUAGUUUAGUAACACAAAAAAUUAAUGAAGAGAUUAGUACCACAUUUUUUAUGGUCUAUUGAACUCAACCUUAGGCUCACCUGUUUAACAAAAACAUCGCCUGGUGUCACAUGCUAGGUAAUUCCUGCUCGGUGUAGAGUAAACAGCAGCGGUAUCUUGACCGUUCAAAGGUAGCAUAAUAAGCUUAAUAAUUGUAAGCCUGUCAACGGAGUAAUGGGUCUAAGUAAGUCUGGACCAUUUAUUCUUAAAUUAUCUUAAAAGUAAAAAUCCUUUUAAUUUAAAAAAAGACGAUAAGACCCUAGAAUUUUAAUAAAGUUUAGAUGGGGAAUCUUUGGUAAAAAAAACCAGAAGCAAAAUACUCUAGGGAUAACAGCCCCAUUCGAAAGUAACUUUCGAGAUUGGGACCUCGAUGUUGAAUUAGGAAUCCUCGUCCCCAGAAGGGACGUUGUUUGGUCUGUUCGACCGCUAAUUUUUCCUACAUGAUUUGAGUUCAGACCGUCGUGAGACAGGUCAGUUUCUAUCUUUUCGAUUAUACCUUUUGUACGAAAGGACUUAGGUAUACCCAAAAACCGGGAUUUCUGAUAGAGAGUUUUUGGGACUCUUUAACCAUAAC
rnacentral:rRNA from 1 species